UCGCUUGGUUUGCCUACUGGAUUCCCCCGCAGCGACUCUAAACAACUGCUUCUAGUUGGUUCAACAGGGGCCGGCAACGCGAUCAAUCUGGGCUGGGAACGCUCCUCCGGGCGUGACCAGCAGCUCUCUGCGAGAGUUCACAGAUCAAACGAUCGCGGCCGCUUCGGCGGUUCAGAUAUGAUCGGUCCCGGCCUUCUCUCGGCUGGUGAAUUUACACGGAACCUGCGGAAGGAUCAUUAAU
rnacentral:rRNA from 1 species